CUUGUUCUUUAAAUGAGGACUCGUAUCAACGGCACUACGAGGGCUAUACUGUCUCCUUUUUCUAAUCAGUGAAACUGAUCUCCCCGUGAAGAAGCGGGGAUUAUAAUAUAAGACGAGAAGACCCCAUGGAGCUUUAAACUCACCAUGCACCUCUGUGCUCCCAUACCCCUAAACACAACAGACCUGCAUGUUAGUUUUAGGUUGGGGUGACCACGGAGUAUAACUUAACCUCCACAGCAAACGGGCUAAUACCCUUAUCCACGAGACACAACUCUAAGAAUUAUUAAACUAAUGCUUACGACCCGAUAUUCGAUCCAUGAACCAAGUUACCCUGGGGAUAACAGCGCAAUCUACUUCAAGAGCCCAUAUCGACAAGUAG
rnacentral:rRNA from 1 species